rnacentral:rRNA from 1 species
UCAGUCGCAUGCUCUGGACCCGAAGCGGAGUGAUCUACCCAUGGCCAGGGUGAAGCGACGGUAAGACGUCGUGGAGGCCCGAACCCACUUAGGUUGAAAACUGAGGGGAUGAGUUGUGGGUAGGGGUGAAAGGCCAAUCAAACUCCGUGAUAGCUGGUUCUCCCCGAAAUGCAUUUAGGUGCAGCGUCGCGUGUUUCAUCCUGGAGGUAGAGCUACUGGAUGGUCUAGGGGGCCCACAAGCUUACCGAAAUCAGCCAAACUCCGAAUGCCAGGAUGUGAGAGCGCGGCAGUGAGACUGCGGGCGAUAAGGUUCGUAGUCGAGAGGGAAACAGCCCAGAUCGCCGGCUAAGGCCCCUAAGCGUGUACUAAGUGGAAAAGGAUGUGAAGUCGCGAAGACAACCAGGAGGUUGGCUUAGAAGCAGCCACCCUUGAAAGAGUGCGUAAUAGCUCACUGGUCAAGUGAUUUUGCGCCGACAAUGUAGCGGGGCUCAAGUACACCGCCGAAGCCGCGGCACUCACAUGUAUCCCGUCCAUCGUCUGCGGAUGGUGGGCCAGGUGUGUGGGUGGGUAGGGGAGCGUCGUGUGGCCGGGGAAGCGCCGGAGUGAUCCAGGUGUGGAGGCCACGCGAGUGAGAAUGCAGGCAUGAGUAGCGAAAGACGAGUGAGAAACUCGUCCGCCGAAUGACCAAGGGUUCCUGGGCCAGGUUAAUCCGCCCAGGGUGAGUCGGGACCUAAGGCGAGGCCGACAGGCGUAGUCGAUGGACAACGGGUUGAUAUUCCCGUACCCGUGUAUCCGCGCCCAUGACGAAUCAGGAGUACUAACCGUCCAGAUCUUCCGUGAGCACCUUCGGGUGCCUGGUGGAGUGAUGCACGGGACCUUUCCUGGUAGUAGUCAAGCGAUGGGGUGACGCAGGAAGGUAGCUGGGCCAGUCAGUGGUUGUACUGGUGUAAGCCUGUAGGGCGAACGGUAGGCAAAUCCGCCGUUCACAUGAGCCUGAGAGGUGAUGCGUAGCCGAAUGAGGCGAAUUCAGUGAUCCUAUGCUGCCGAGAAAAGCCUCUAGUGAGUUGGUACACGGCCCGUACCCCAAACCGACACAGGUGGUCAGGUAGAGAAUACCAAGGCGAUCGAGAGAACUAUGGUUAAGGAACUCGGCAAAAUGCCCCCGUAACUUCGGGAGAAGGGGGACCCCUGCUGGUGAUCACUCUUGCAGUGUGAGCUGGUGUGGGUCGCAGAGACCAGUGAGAAGCGACUGUUUACUAAAAACACAGGUCCGUGCGAAGUCGUAAGACGAUGUAUACGGACUGACGCCUGCCCGGUGCUGGAAGGUUAAGAGGACCGGUCAGCCACCCUCGUGGUGGCGAAGCUGAGAAUUUAAGCCCCAGUAAACGGCGGUGGUAACUAUAACCAUCCUAAGGUAGCGAAAUUCCUUGUCGGGUAAGUUCCGACCUGCACGAAUGGCGUAACGACUUCUCAGCUGUCUCAACCAUAGACUCGGCGAAAUUGCAUUACGAGUAAAGAUGCUCGUUACGCGCGGCAGGACGAAAAGACCCCGGGACCUUCACUACAGCUUGGUAUUGGUGUUCGGUUCGGUUUGUGUAGGAUAGGUGGGAGACUGUGAAGCAUGCACGCCAGUGUGUGUGGAGUCGUUGUUGAAAUACCACUCUGAUCGUAUUGGAUACCUCAACCUCGGACCAUGAUCUGGUUCAGGGACAGUGCCUGGUGGGUAGUUUAACUGGGGCGGUUGCCUCCCAAAAUGUAACGGAGGCGCCCAAAGGUUCCCUCAGCCUGGUUGGCAAUCAGGUGUCGAGUGCAAGUGCACAAGGGAGCUUGACUGUGAGACUGACAGGUCGAGCAGGGACGAAAGUCGGGACUAGUGAUCCGGCACCGGCAAGUGGAAGCGGUGUCGCUCAACGGAUAAAAGGUACCCCGGGGAUAACAGGCUGAUCUUCCCCAAGAGUCCAUAUCGACGGGAUGGUUUGGCACCUCGAUGUCGGCUCGUCGCAUCCUGGGGCUGGAGUAGGUCCCAAGGGUUGGGCUGUUCGCCCAUUAAAGCGGCACGCGAGCUGGGUUUAGAACGUCGUGAGACAGUUCGGUCUCUAUCCGCCGCGCGCGUGAAGAAACUUGAGGAAGGCUGUCCCUAGUACGAGAGGACCGGGACGGACGAACCUCUGGUGUGCCAGUUGUUCCACCAGGAGCACUGCUGGUUGGCUACGUUCGGAAGGGAUAACCGCUGAAAGCAUCUAAGCGGGAAGCCUGUUCCAAGAUGAGGUUUCUCACCCCCCAGAGGGGGUAAGGCCCCCGGCAGACCACCGGGUUGAUAGGCCAGAACUGGAAGCCCAGCAAUGGGUGCAGGUGACUGGUACUAAUAGGCCGAGGACUUACCAC